rnacentral:rRNA from 1 species
AGCAGCCGCGGUAAUUCCAGCUCCAAUAGCGUAUAUUAAAGUUGUUGCAGUUAAAAAGCUCGUAGUUGAAUUUCGGGAUCAUCAGGUCGGUCGUGCCUCCGGUAUGUACUGAUCUCGGUGGUUCCUCCUUCUUGUAGAACCGUAAUGCCAUUAAUUUGGUGUUGCGGGAAAACAGGACUGUUACUUUGAAAAAAUUAGGGUGUUUAAAGCAGGCGAUCGCUUGAAUACAUUAGCAUGGAAUAAUGAAAUAGGACGUUCGAUCCUAUUUUGUUGGUUUCUAGGAUUGACGUAAUGGUUAAUAGGGAUAGUUGGGGGCAUUAGUAUUCAAUUGUCAGAGGUGAAAUUCUUGGAUUUAUUGAAGACUAACUACUGCGAAAGCAUUUGCCAAGGAUGUUUUCAUUAAUCAAGAACGAAAGUUAGGGGAUCGAAGACGAUCAGAUACCGUCGUAGUCUUAACCAUAAACUAUGCCGACUAGGGAUCGGAUGAUGUUAAUUUUUUAAUGACUCAUUCGGCGCCUUA